rnacentral:rRNA from 1 species
CUGGGUUUAGAACGUCGUGAGACAGUUCGGUCUCUAUCCGCCGUGGGCGCAGGAGAAUUGAAGGAAUCUGCUUCUAGUACGAGAGGACCGAAGUGGACGAACCUCUGGUGCACCAGUUGUUUCAUCAGAAGCAUCGCUGGGUAGCUACGUUCGGAAAGGAUAAGCGCUGAAAGCAUAUAAGUGCGAAACCUGUCCUAAGAUUAGUUCUCCCUAUCAUAUUGAUAAUAAGGCUCGUUGUAGACUACGACGUUGAUAGGCCACAAGUGUAAGUGCAGCAAUGCAUUCAGCUGAGUGGUACUAAUUAGCCGAAUGGCUUUAUCAA